CCGCCCGUGACUCUGCGAGAAGUCCAUUGAACCUUAUCAUUUAGAGGAAGGAGAAGUCGUAACAAGGUUUCCGUAGGUGAACCUGCGGAAGGAUCAUUG
rnacentral:rRNA from 1 species